ACGGGUUAUUAAAGAGAGUUUUAAUUAAGAAUGCCAUAUAAUUUUAUUGCUAUGCUUAAUUUCCAGAUGUACUGUAUGCACCUGUUCUAAUAAACUUUGCACCUGAACUACUAUUCUCCAUGUGGGUUAAGGACAGAUUAGAAACUUGACUUUGCUAUCGUUUAGUUCACUUUUAAUCACUUAAGAGUAAUUAUUGAAUUGCGAAUGUCAUUAAACACAUAAGAGACACACUAAUACUAAUUAUAUAUAUUUCUCCCAAUAGAAAAAUCUUUUAAUGGCGGAAAAAUUGCAUCGCCCACACGCUUUACCAAAAUUACUCAUUUCGAUUUUUAUUACUGAUGAAAUUGUUUUAUGGCUGCACUAAUUUAUUUAGCAGCUGCAUGUGCAAUUUAGUUCUUAAAACGCAGUUUGCAUCAGUUAUUCAAGAAAGAAGUACAUACAAUGUUUCUGAUAAUUUUUUUGGUCACUUUUAUUUCUCUCGUAACUAUAGCAUCAUCUAUUCCCGAUGCUAUACUUCCUUAUCAAUACGGAAUUAUGGAAGAGGCGAAAAAGUAAGUUCUAUCUAAAUGUUUAAAACAUAAUUAGUGUAUGUGAAAUGUUUGUUUAUAUAUUUUUUGUAGCUCAUACGGAAGAGGAUCAACUAAUUUUUUUUAUGGCUUAUGGCAAGAAGUUCUCUCUAUGAGAGAAUUAAACGAAUUGAGAUCAUUGACAUCACCUAAAGAUUUCUUAAUGAAGAUGUUGAGUUUAUUUGUCUCCCGCCUAUUUUUAAAUCUUCAAUCGAUCACGUUAAAUUUUUUGUUCAUGUUGUGAAGAGGAGGAAGAAGAAAAAUUCGAGGAUAUGUAGAAUUUUAUUUCAAAUUCGGUUUUACAAAAUCGCUUCAGCGCAGUUUUGCAAUAACGACGAUCUUUGCAAAUGGCAAAUAUCUCUCGUGUUUUGCGUGGUUAUUUAUCGAAGUAGGUGAACAUUUUUUUUUAUGUAACGAAUAUUACGUAUAGUAUUCUAGUUUGAGAUCUCUCUCCUAUUCCAAUCAUGGAAUAGAAAUUGGCUGAGAUGUUGAUGUUUAAUUGUAUGUAUCACACAAUAUAUAUAUAUAUUGUAAGUUAUAAUUAAGUUUAACAGGGUUGAUAAUGUUAUAUGGUAAUUAUGAGUUAUAAUUGAUAAGUGGUAUUUAAAUCUAUGUUAGACAUUCAAUAACAAAUGGUUUGGUUACGGUUUGUUUAAUGAUUUAUUAGUUUUAUCGUAUUGUAAGCGAUUAGGCGUACUGAAAGAUAUAGUAAGAUGACAGGAGAAAAUUUCGAUUUUGAGGUGACCACAAUGGCUAUAACAAAAAUUAACCAAUAACAUCUAAUUUAUGGAAUCAUUUACGGGGCCGGAUUAACCCACUUUGGAGCCCUAGACAUUUUCUUCUUACCAGGCCCCCCCUCCCACUCCCACAUGAAAUAGAGCGCACAAAAAAUUUUAGAUAUUAUUAUUACUUUUUAUAUCGUUAUUGGUAUUUUUUUAAUUCAUAGGAUAUUAAGAAUACAUAUGAGGCGUUGCGGAUACGAAGGGCAAACUCAACAUUGGAGCAAAAAAAUUUUUUUCCCCAUUUUGCUCCCAUGAAGCCACAGAAUAUGCUGGUUAG
rnacentral:lncRNA from 1 species